rnacentral:tRNA from 1 species
GGGCCGGUAGAUCAGCCUGGAAUGAUCGCAGCGUUGGCAUCGCUGAGGUCGCGGGUUCAAAUCCCGCCCGGUCCA